AUUGACGAGUCCCAAAUAGGACGAAAUGCGCAUCCUGGAU
rnacentral:hammerhead_ribozyme from 1 species